GAUGAACGCUGGCGGCGUGCCUAACACAUGCAAGUCGAACGGACAGACCCUGCUCUUGUUUGGUGCACGUUUGGCGAACGGGUGAGUAACACAUGAGUAAACCGCACUUAACAUACUGAUAAAAUCACGAAACAGGGGCUAAUACCCGGUAGGAUCUUUUGAAGCGUAUUGUGGGAUGGAAAAAUUCGGCGGUUGGGGAUGGACUCGCGGCUUAUCAGCUUGUUGGUGGGGUAGUGGCUUACCAAGGCGUUGACGGGUAGCCGGCCUGAGCGGGUGACCGGCCACAUUGGGACUGAGAUACGGCCCAGACUCCUACGGGAGGCAGCAGUGGGGAAUAUUGCACAAUGGGCGGAAGCCUGAUGCAGCAACGCCGCGUGCGGGAUGACGGCCUUCGGGUUGUAAACCGCUUUCGCCUGUGACGAAGCGUGAGUGACGGUAAUGGGUAAAGAAGCACCGGCUAACUACGUG
rnacentral:rRNA from 1 species